rnacentral:sRNA from 1 species
AUCACAAAACAAAACAUGGAUCUGUGUCCGAUAGUCCUCUGUUCGCUUCGGUGAAUUCAGAGUUGAUUGUCGCGGCAGCUGACUCCCUUCAUGGAAGCAUUAAUAUUCUAAAUGAUGUAAAUCCGAGUCACAGGUCCUAGAGUAAUCGGGGCAUCUGGGAAGCUGAGCUCGCCGUAAAAAGCUGAGCUUGGUGGAACGGGUGGACCUGCUGGUGGUUAUAUUCCUAACCGUUUUGCCAAGACCGUUGGUCUAUGAGGCUGGGGAAAACCAUAACGACACCACAUUU